rnacentral:rRNA from 1 species
UACAGAGGGUGCGAGCGUUAAUCGGAAUUACUGGGCGUAAAGCGUGCGUAGACGGUUACGUAAGUCGGGUGUGAAAGCCCCGGGCUCAACCUGGGAAUUGCAUUCGAGACUGCGUAGCUAGGGUGCGGAAGAGGGAAGCGGAAUUUCCGGUGUAGCGGUGAAAUGCGUAGAUAUCAGAAGGAACAUCAGUGGCGAAAGCGGCUUCCUGGACCAGAACUGACGAUCAGGCACGAAAGCGUGGGGAGCAAACAGG